CGAGAACGGACUUAAGCUUGCUUAAGUUGUCAGCUAAGUGGCGCACGGGUGAGUAAUGUAUAGUUAACCUGCCCUCGAGAAAGGAAUAACAGAUGGAAACGUCUGCUAAUGCCCUAUAUGCCCAUAAUACAUAAGUAUGCUGGGGAAAUGCUUUAGUGCUCGAGGAUGGGACUGUAUGGUAUCAGAUAGUUGGUGAGGUAAUGGCUCACCAAGUCAAUGACGCCUAACUGGUUUGAGAGGAUGAUCAGUCACACUGGAACUGAGACACGGUCCAGACUCCUACAGGAGGCAGCAGUGGGGAAUAUUGCACAAUGGAGGAAACUCUGAUGCAGCAACGCCGCGUGGAGGAUGACACUUUUCGGAGCGUAAACUCCUUUUAUAUAGGAAGAUAAUGACGGUACUAUAUGAAUAAGCACCGGCUAACUCCGUGCCAGCAGCCGCGGUAAUACGGAGGGUGCAAGCGUUACUCGGAAUCACUGGGCGUAAAGAGCGUGUAGGCGGGUUAUUAAGUCAGAAGUGAAAUCCUAUGGCUCAACCAUAGAACUGCUUUUGAAACUGGUAACCUAGAGUAUGGGAGAGGUAGAUGGAAUUUCUGGUGUAGGGGUAAAAUCCGUAGAGAUCAGAAGGAAUACCGAUUGCGAAGGCGAUCUACUGGAACAUUACUGACGCUGAGACGCGAAAGCGUGGGGAGCAAACAGGAUUAGAUACCCUGGUAGUCCACGCCCUAAACGAUGUACACUAGUUGUUGCCAUGCUAGACAUGGCAGUAAUGCAGUUAACACAUUAAGUGUACCGCCUGGGGAGUACGGUCGCAAGAUUAAAACUCAAAGGAAUAGACGGGGGACCCGCACAAGCGGUGGAGCAUGUGGUUUAAUUCGACGAUACGCGAAGAACCUUACCUGGACUUGACAUUUACAGAACUUUCAAGAGAUUGAUUGGUGUCUGCUUGCAGAAACUGU
rnacentral:rRNA from 1 species